rnacentral:rRNA from 1 species
GGGCGUGCCUAAUACAUGCAAGUCGAGCGGACCAAUGAAGAGCUUGCUCUUCGGCGGUUAGCGGCGGAGGGGUGAGUAACACGUAGGCAACCUGCCUGUACGACUGGGAUAACUCCGGGAAACCGGAGCUAAUACCGGAUACUUUUUUCAGACCGCAUGGUCUGAAAGGGAAAGACCUUUGGUCACGUACAGAUGGGCCUGCGGCGCACUAGCUAGUUGGUGGGGUAACGGCCUACCAAGGCGACGAUGCGUAGCCCACCUGAGAGGGUGAUCGGCCACACUGGGACUGAGACACGGCCCAGACUCCUACGGGAGGCAGCAGUAGGGAAUCUUCCGCAAUGGACGAAAGUCUGACGGAGCAACGCCCCGUGAACGAUGAAGGUUUUCGGAUCGUAAAGUUCUGUUGUUAGGGAAAAACCGCCGGGAUGACCUCCCGGUCUGACGGUACCUAACGACAUAGCCCCAGCUAACUACGUGCCUGCAGCCGCGGUAAUACGUAGGGGGCAAGCGUUGUCCGGAAUUAUUGGGCGUUAAGCGCGCGCAGGCGGCUUUUAAGUCAGGUGUGAAAGCCCACGGCUCAACCGUGGAAGGCCACUUGAAACUGGGAAGCUUGAGUGCAGGAGAGGAGAGCGGAAUUCCACGUGUAGCGGUGAAAUGCGUAGAGAUGUGGAGGAUCACCCGUGGCGAAGGCGGCUCUCUGGCCUGUAACGGACGCUGAGGCGCGAAAGCGUCGGGAGCGAACAGGAUUAGAUACCCUGGUAGUCCACGCCGUAAACGUUGAGUGCCAGGUGUUGGGGACUCCAAUCCUCAGUGCCGCAGCUAACGCAAU